UAAUUCUACCAAGAACUCACGCACACCCCAUCCCUUCUCUUCCCCAUUCUCGACCCCCCCCCCCCCCUCCCCCCCAUCUCUCUCUCAAUACUAUAUUUUCCUCCAUUGUUGUCCAUUGAAGAAAGCUUAGAGAAGCUUCAUCAAACACUACUAUGAAAUAAUCCACCAUCCAAUCCAAUCAAAUACUAGCAUAUCUCAUCAAAUUCAAGAAGCUAGAGCUAAGAUCAAAGUUGGAGCAAAGUCUUGAUCACCUUUUAAAUCCCUGAGAUAAGCGGAGGGGAAGUAUGGUGCGGUGCUGGUGGGGAAUGUUUCGGGUUGACGUUUUCUUUCUCUAUCAUAUGUCUGUUUUGUCGAUAGAGUUUUGAUAUGAAGUUAUGUUAUAUUAAAUCAAGCAGUUUACUCACGAUUAUGUGUCUUCAUACAUAUAGUCAGUUCACCUUUUGUUAUCACACUCUGAAUAUUAUGACUCUACAUAAAAAUUGAGCUAUACUUGUUUUGCUUUUCAUGUUGA